CAGCGGCAGCGUCCGCAGCUGUUUUACGUCACGCUGCGAUUCCCGAAAUCGAGCGUUCCUCUUGCAAGAAGGAGGCUGUUGGUCUCAGAGAGGAAGCUCAGAAACACGUCUUUAACGCACUAUCCUGAGGGAAGGUACGGGCGUUGCAGAGGACCCUGCCUGCGCCCGGCAGAGCUUCGGGAACGUUCUGAGCUGCGUGCAGGGGAAGAGGGACCAGAGCCAGACCUGUGUGCGCCCUUUAUAUCCUUCUGGGCACACUUUGUUUGCAACAGCCGGACAGCGGAGCAACGAGGACGUGCCAUUGCAAGGCUGGAGGUGUCCUACAGCUGCUAAAUCCUUCCGUCAGGGCUGGAGAACCUCGUGAGGAUCUCCGGCCGUUGUGAGCUGCACAAGAGGCUCACUGACACCUUCUGUGGCACCCAGCACGUGUGUAAUGUGCAUCACGCACCGUGUGCCCUCUGCUCCUGAACAGUUUUAUGUUCAGAUCCUGGAGACUUGUUGUGCUCGGUAACGCCGAUGCGUUUCUGCUCACAGGAGUGAAUUCCCCUCACGCCGCCUCUUGCAGCCAUUUCCUGCAGCCCACACGGGCUGUGCAGCUGUAGCAGACACUGAGUGGCUCAUGUUCCCUCUGAAAUGCUCUGUAAUUAUGCCACCUAGUUAAGAAUUACGAUGUUCACUUGCCAAGAC
rnacentral:lncRNA from 1 species